GAUGAACGCUGGCGGCGUGCCUAAUACAUGCAAGUCGAGCGAACGGACGAGAAGCUUGCUUCUCUGAUGUUAGCGGCGGACGGGUGAGUAACACGUGGAUAACCUACCUAUAAGACUGGGAUAACUUCGGGAAACCGGAGCUAAUACCGGAUGAUAUUUUGAACCGCAUGGUUCAAAAGUGAAAGACGGUCUUGCUGUCACUUAUAGAUGGAUCCGCGCUGCAUUAGCUGGUUGGUAAGGUAACGGCUUACCAAGGCAACGAUGCAUAGCCGACCUGAGAGGGUGAUCGGCCACACUGGAACUGAGACACGGUCCAGACUCCUACGGGAGGCAGCAGUAGGGAAUCUUCCGCAAUGGGCGAAAGCCUGACGGAGCAACGCCGCGUGAGUGAUGAAGGUCUUCGGAUCGUAAAACUCUGUUAUUAGGGAAGAACAUAUGUGUAAGUAACUGUGCACAUCUUGACGGUACCUAAUCAGAAAGCCACGGCUAACUACGUG
rnacentral:rRNA from 1 species